rnacentral:tRNA from 1 species
UCCCUGGUAGUAUAUCGGCUAGUACACCCGCCUGUCAUGUACGUGUCCGCGGGAGAGCGGGGUUCGACUCCCCGCCAAGGAG